CAUUACCGAGUUUACAACUCCCAAACCCCUGUGAACAUACCUUAUGUUGCCUCGGCGGAUCAGCCCGCGCCCCGUAAAAAGGGACGGCCCGCCGCAGGAACCCUAAACUCUGUUUUUAGUGGAACUUCUGAGUAUAAAAAACAAAUAAAUCAAAACUUUCAACAACGGAUCUCUUGGUUCUGGCAUCGAUGAAGAACGCAGCAAAAUGCGAUAAGUAAUGUGAAUUGCAGAAUUCAGUGAAUCAUCGAAUCUUUGAACGCACAUUGCGCCCGCCAGUAUUCUGGCGGGCAUGCCUGUUCGAGCGUCAUUUCAACCCUCAAGCCCAGCUUGGUGUUGGGAGCUGCAGUCCUGCUGCACUCCCCAAAUACAUUGGCGGUCACGUCGAGCUUCCAUAGCGUAGUAAUUUACACAUCGUUACUGGUAAUCGUCGCGGCCACGCCGUUAAACCCCAACUUCUGAAUGUUGACCUCGGAUCAGGUAGGAAUACCCGCUGAACUUAAGCAUAUCAAUAAGCGGAGGAAAAGAAACCAACAGGGAUUGCCCUAGUAACGGCGAGUGAAGCGGCAACAGCUCAAAUUUGAAAUCUGGCUUUCGGGCCCGAGUUGUAAUUUGUAGAGGAUGAUUUUGAUGCGGUGCCUUCCGAGUUCCCUGGAACGGGACGCCAUAGAGGGUGAGAGCCCCGUCUGGUUGGAUGCCAAAUCUCUGUAAAUCUCCUUCGACGAGUCGAGUAGUUUGGGAAUGCUGCUCUAAAUGGGAGGUAUAUGUCUUCUAAAGCUAAAUACCGGCCAGAGACCGAUAGCGCACAAGUAGAGUGAUCGAAAGAUGAAAAGCACUUUGAAAAGAGAGUUAAAAAGUACGUGAAAUUGUUGAAAGGGAAGCGUUUAUGACCAGACUUGGGCUUGGUUAAUCAUCUGGGGUUCUCUCCAGUGCACUUUUCCAGUCCAGGCCAGCAUCAGUUUUCGCCGGGGGAUAAAGGCUUCGGGAAUGUGGCUCCCCUCGGGGAGUGUUAUAGCCCGUUGUGUAAUACCCUGGUGGGGACUGAGGUUCGCGCU
rnacentral:ncRNA from 2 species